rnacentral:rRNA from 1 species
UACGUAGGGGGCUAGCGUUGUCCGGAUUUAUUGGGCGUAAAGAGCGUGUAGGCGGCCAGAUAGGUCUGCUGUGAAAACUCGAGGCUCAACCUCGAGAUGUCGGCGGAAACCAUUUGGCUAGAGUCCGGAAGAGGAAAGUGGAAUUCCUGGUGUAGCGGUGAAAUGCGCAGAUAUCAGGAAGAACACCCGUGGCGAAGGCGGGUCUCUGGGCAACAACUGACGCUGAGGAGCGAAAGCGUGGGGAGCGAACAGG